rnacentral:rRNA from 1 species
GAUGAACGCUGGCGGCGUGCCUAAUACAUGCAAGUCGAGCGAAUGGAUUAAGAGCUUGCUCUUAUGAAGUUAGCGGCGGACGGGUGAGUAACACGUGGGUAACCUGCCCAUAAGACUGGGAUAACUCCGGGAAACCGGGGCUAAUACCGGAUAACAUUUUGAACCGCAUGGUUCGAAAUUGAAAGGCGGCUUCGGCUGUCACUUAUGGAUGGACCCGCGUUGCACUAGCUAGUUGGUGAGGUAACGGCUCACCAAGGCAGCGAUGCGUAGCCGACCUGAGAGGGUGAUCGGCCACACUGGGACUGAGACACGGCCCAGACUCCUACGGGAGGCAGCAGUAGGGAAUCUUCCGCAAUGGACGAAAGUCUGACGGAGCAACGCCGCGUGAGUGAUGAAGGCUUUCGGGUCGUAAAACUCUGUUGUUAGGGAAGAACAAGUGCUAGUUGAAUAAGCUGGCACCUUGACGGUACCUAACCAGAAAGCCACGGCUAACUACGUGCCAGCCGCCGCGGUAA